rnacentral:rRNA from 1 species
AUUGCACGCUGGCUGCAGGCCUACCACAUGCAAGUCGAACGAGUGGCGGACGGGUGCGUAAUGUCUGGGAAACUGCCUGAUGGAGGGGGAUAACUACUGGAAACGGUAGCUAAUACCGCAUACCAUCGGAUGUGCCCAGAUGGGAUUAGCUAGUAGGUGGGGUAACGGCUCACCUAGACGACGAUCCCUAGCUGGUCUGAGAGGAUGACCAGCCUAACUGGAACUGAGACCCGGUCCAGACUCCUACGGGAGGCAGCAGUGGGGAAUAUUGCACAAUGGGCGCAAGCCUGAUGCAGCCAUGCAGCGUGUGUGAAGAAGGCCUUCGGGUUGUAAAGCACUUUCAGCGGGGAGGCGUUACCCGCAGAAGAAGCACCGGCGAACUCCGUGACAGCCGCCGCGGUAAUUC